CUGAACCAGCACAAGCGGCAGCAUCGGCAAGCUGAACUAUCGCUUUCAUAGGGAUUUAUCUUAUAGAAGGAGAAUUGAAUGUUUCUUCAUGUUCUUUUUGAUGCUCCUUUGAGGAGAAGCCCUGUUUAUUAUUUUCUAUGAAAACCAAGCCACAUGGACUCAGUUAACAAGAUCAACCUUGCUGGGAAAUGAACAAGCGACCAGGACUGCGUGCAAUUCUACUUGGAGAUCUUCAUAACACCUUAAGGGAAAAAUCCUUUUUGAAAGAAAAACAAGUCUGGGUGGUGCUUGAAAAUUCAGAAGGCAGCUAGAAACUCUGCCAAUUACAACUGGUGAUUGCUGAGUUCUGGAGACAGACUGGGCUUCUGCUUUCUUUUGGUGGAGGUGUCUGCUUGCAGAAAAUUUAUGUUCUGGGAUUUACAACUUCAGGGAGACAAAGGAAACUCCAGCUCAUCUCCCACAUCAUUGAUUGAGAGGACCAUUUUCUGACUGUCUGCACACGGAUGGGCAUUUGAAUUAUUUCCAGUUUUUGGCUAUUAUGAAAAAAACUGCUAUGAACAUUCAUACACAAGUGUGUGUGUGGACCCAUGUUUUCACUGAUCAAGGCCUAAAUACCUACGUGGUGCUUCGUGAACCCUGGAUGCUACAGUCUCUGGCCACAGCACUAAAUGUAUGCUGAGAUCUGGCUUCACGGUCG
rnacentral:lncRNA from 1 species